AUGGAAGCUUUCAUACCUCACAUUUCUGAUAUCCUGUGACCAGAUGGGCUGUGAGAGCACACCAAUGACAACCUCAAAGAACCUGGCCCCCUGACCAUGACUGCUUCAAGGUCACCAACGAGUUGUUCUCCAGUCAUCCAGAUCUGCAGAAAGACCCACUGCCUGAUGCUGAUUUCAUCCUCUUCAAAGAUGGGAACAGCUUCAUGGAAAAUGGGCUGUCAAGGUGACUGAAGUCCAGCCAUGGAUUCACCACUCUAGAGUGAAAUAAUCGAGAACUCCAUGGACUGUGGCUCCAGGAGACAGAGCACUCAAGGCCCUGCUCUCACCACACCGGAAGUUGAU